rnacentral:misc_RNA from 1 species
GAUGAAGAACGUAGCGAAUGCGAUAAGUAAUGUGAAUUGCAGAAUUCAGUGAAUCAUCGAAUCUUUGAACGCACAUUGCGCCCGCCAGUAUUCUGGCGGGCAUGCCUGUUCGAGCGUCAUUACAACCCUCAGGCCCCCGGGCCUGGCGUUGGGGAUCGGCGGAAGCCCCCUGCGGGCACAACGCCGUCCCCCAAAUACAGUGGCGGUCCCGCCGCAGCUUCCAUUGCGUAGUAGCUAACACCUCGCAACUGGAGAGCGGCGCGGCCACGCCGUAAAACACCCAACUUCUGAAUGUUGACCUCGAAUCAGGUAGGAAUACCCGCUGAACUUAAGCAUAUCAAUAAGCGGAGGA